rnacentral:rRNA from 1 species
GUCCCAGUUCGGAUUGCAGGCUGCAACCCGCCUGCAUGAAGUUGGAAUCGCUAGUAAUCGCGGAUCAGCAUGCCGCGGUGAAUACGUUCCCGGGCCUUGUACACACCGCCCGUCACACCAUGGGAGCCGGUAAUACCCGAAGUCAGUAGUCCAACCACGUGAGGACGCUGCCGAAGGUAGGAUUGGCGACUGGGGUGAAGUCGUAACAAGGUAUC